rnacentral:rRNA from 1 species
GGAGGNUNCGAGCGUNAUCCGGANUUANNGGGUNUAAGGGAGCGNAGACGGGUCGUNAAGNCAGCUGUGAAAGUUNGGGGCUCAACCUNAAAAUNGCAGUUGAUACUGGCNUCCUNGAGUGCGGUUGAGGUGUGCGGAAUUCGUGGUGUAGCGGUGAAAUGCUUAGAUAUCACGAAGAACUCCGAUUGCGAAGGCAGCNCACUAANCCGUAACUGACGUUCAUGCUCGAAAGUGUGGGUAUCAAACAGGAUUAGAUACCCUGGUAGUCCACACGGUAAACGAUGGAUACUCGCUGUUGGCGAUAUACUGUCAGCGGCUUAGCGAAAGCGUUAAGUAUCCCACCUGGGGAGU